AGUGGCGAACGGGUGAGUAACGCGUGAGUAACCUGCCCUAGAGUGGGGGACAACAGUUGGAAACGACUGCUAAUACCGCAUACUUUAGGAUGGACUCGCGUCCAAUUAGCUAGUUGGUGAGGUAACGGCCCACCAAGGCGACGAUUGGUAACCGGACUGAGAGGUUGAACGGCCACAUUGGGACUGAGACACGGCCCAGACUCCUACGGGAGGCAGCAGUGGGGGAUAUUGCACAAUGGGGGAAACCCUGAUGCAGCGACGCCGCGUGGAGGAAGAAGGUUUUCGGAUUGUAAACUCCUGUCGUUAGGGACGCGGUACCUAACAAGAAAGCACCGGCUAACUACGUGCCAGCAGCCGCGGUAAAACGUAGGGUGUAAGCGUUGUCCGGAAUUACUGGGUGUAAAGGGAGCGCACGCGGACCGGCAAGUUGGAAGUGAAAACCAUGGGCUCAACCCAUGAAUUGCUUUCAAAACUGCUGGCCUUGAGUAGUGCAGAGGUAGGUGGAAUUCCCGGUGUAGCGGUGGAAUGCGUAGAUAUCGGGGGGAAC
rnacentral:rRNA from 1 species